GCUUGAAGAGAAAGAAGCUCUGGAAGAAAAGUUGGCACUCUGUGAAUAUGAGUUUCGUUUAUCUCAAGAGGACAUUGUACAGCUAAAGAGUGAGUUGCAAAAGAAAAGUCAGACUAGUCCUUGUCCAAUAAGUGAUUUAAAGAUCGAUCCCUCCGAAAACCAUGGAACUGAUUCUCAACAGCAGAAGAGGGAAGGUUCUUUUUCUGAUUUGGGUCCUUUGAAGGAUAAUGAGCGGAAGGAUUUGAACUAUGCUGUAAAGGAGUAUUUACUAUUAGCAGGAUAUCGCUUGACUGCAAUGACAUUAUUGGAAGAGGUUACUGAUCAAGACCUAGAUG
rnacentral:misc_RNA from 1 species